rnacentral:misc_RNA from 1 species
GAAAUGCGAUAAGUAAUGUGAAUUGCAGAAUUCAGUGAAUCAUCGAAUCUUUGAACGCACCUUGCACCCUUUGGUAUUCCGAAGGGUACGCCCGUUUGAGAGUCAUUGUAACCUCACUCCCGAAUUUUUUUGGGAUGUGGAAUUGGAUGCUGUCGUGUCACGACUCGUCUCGAAUGUCUCAGUGUAUCCCGCCAGUCGGCGUAACAGUGUGAUAAGUAUCUUCACUGGUAGCCUCUUCAGAGGCGCGCUAUCGGGUGGGCUCCUAUGCUUCCAACCGUCUUUGGACAAUGACCGACAAUUUGACCUCAAAUCGGGUGGGACUACCCGCUGAACUUAA